rnacentral:lncRNA from 1 species
AGAAGGAGGAGGAGGAGGAGGAGGAUCGCGUAUGGAGAGGGAGGAGGAGGAAAGCUUGGAGAUGAAGCGGGCAGAGAUCGUGGGAGGGGUUGAUAACCUGCUGGCAUUUGGUUCCAGCAUAAUGCCACUAAUACCUAAGCAUUAGACGGUCGGGCAAUUUUUAUUUUUUUUGUACAAAAUAAUAUAAAAGAGUACAGCGGCAAAACCCAUGAAGAAAUUAUUGUCCGUACUUCAUGCACCAACUUUGUCAUGCAUGCAAUCAAUCACGGCCACUGCUUCUUAAUUAUGAUGAUGCAUUGAGAUAUAUAUUUGAUGAAUGAAGCGUAUAGAAAC